CCUACGGGAGGCAGCAGUGGGGGAUAUUGCACAAUGGGGGAAACCCUGAUGCAGCGACGCCGCGUGGGUGAAGAAGCGCCUCGGCGCGUAAAGCCCUGUCAGCAGGGAAGAAAAUGACGGUACCUGAAGAAGAAGCCCCGGCUAACUACGUGCCAGCAGCCGCGGUAAUACGUAGGGGGCAAGCGUUAUCCGGAUUUACUGGGUGUAAAGGGGGCGCAGACGGCGAUGCAAGCCAGGAGUGAAAGCCCGGGGCCCAACCCCGGGACUGCUCGUGGAACUGCGUGGCUAGAGUGCAGGAGGGGCAGGCGGAAUGCCUGGUGUAGCGGUGAAAUGCGUAGAUAGCAGGAGGAACACCGGUGGCGAAGGCGGCCUGCUGGGCUGCAACUGACGUUGAGGCCCGAAAGCGUGGGGAGCAAACAGGAUUAGAUACCCCAGUAGUC
rnacentral:rRNA from 1 species